UACGAGAGCCUCGAGCGUUAUCCGGAAUUAUUGGGCGUAAAGGGUGCGUAGGUGGUUCUAUUAGUCUCCUGUUAAAUCCUCAGGCUUAACCUGAGAUGAGCGGGGGAAACGGUAGAACUUGAAAGUGCGAGAGGUGUACGGAACUCAUGGUGUAGGGGUGAAAUCCGUUGAUAUCAUGGGGAACACCAAAGGCGAAGGCAGUACACUGGCGCAUAUUUGACACUGAGGCACGAAAGCGUGGGUAGCGAAUGGG
rnacentral:rRNA from 1 species